AGAGAAAUAAGGCACUAUGCAUCAUCCUUACAUGGAGGCACGAAGUGUUUGCUUGGGGAGUCUGGAUGUCCUCAGGACUGUGGAGCCCAUUCUCAGGACCCUUGCUGGCAAAAGGCUGAAUCCUGGGCAUGUGAAGGAUGAGGAAGUAGAGAAGGAGCACACACUGCAGACAGAUACAGGGAGGGUCUGGGGACAUCAGCUGACUCCUCAGAUACAGCUGCUCCAGUUGGAGGCUUUACACUUGAGAGGACACUUCUCCCUAUAAAGUUGGCUGGCCUGACUCAAGGAGACCUGGACAGAGUUGGGGUUACAGUUUCCUGAUCCUCAUCCUUAACCUGUAGGAAAAUACAGGACAACAGAGCCACUCCAUCCCCCCAGACAACAUGGACCACAAGUCCUGUGGCCUCCCACAGCUGGCUGUGUCCUGGAGCUCCUACCCUAAGACAAUUGCACCCCCUCAUCUCAACCCACUAAGGCAACCAAUAUUUAUUAAGCAUCUCCUGUGGUUUAGGCAUUUUCUAGGUGCUGGGGAACACAACACAAAUAUUCUUGCAGUCAGGCAGGGAAAAUGGGACACAAACAUCAUUAAGUCAAAUAGAGACUAUGUUAGAUGCCACAAGUUCCAUGAAGAGUGCAAAACCAGGGUUCAAGUUAGGGUGUGUUAGGUGGUAAUUAUAAUUAGCAUGGUCCAGGGAAGAGAAACACAAGCCAAGAUCUGAAGGAGGGGUCAUGGAGGUGCUGGUAGUUUCCCCCAUCCAAAGGCACAUGGUAGGGUGAGAACUCUUAUGAGGGGCUUGAUUCUGCAGAGGGGGUUAUAAAA